rnacentral:rRNA from 1 species
CCCGCUGAACUUAAGCAUAUCAAUAAGCGGAGGAAAAGAAACCAACAGGGAUUGCCUCAGUAACGGCGAGUGAAGUGGCAAUAGCUCAAAUUUGAAAUCUGGUCCCUUUCGGGGCUCGAGUUGUAAUUUGUAGAGGAUGCCUUCGGGUUUGGCCCUGGCCUAAGUUCCUUGGAACAGGACGUCACAGAGGGUGAGAAUCCCGUAUGUGGCUGGUGGUCUAUGCCCAUGUGAAGCUCCCUCGACGAGUCGAGUUGUUUGGGAAUGCAGCUCAAAAUGGGUGGUAAGUUUCAUCUAAAGCUAAAUACUGGCGGGAGACCGAUAGCGCACAAGUAGAGUGAUCGAAAGAUGAAAAGCACUUUGGAAAGAGAGUUAAAAAGUACGUGAAAUUGUUGAAAGGGAAGCGCUUGCGACCAGACUUGCCCUUGGUUGAUCAACCUGGUGUUCAUCACCGGUGCACUCUGCUGAGGUCAGGCCAGCAUCGGUUUGGGCGGUUGGAGAAAGUCCGUGGGAAUGUGACUUCCUUUGGGGAGUGUUAUAGCCUUCGGUGCCAUGCGACCAGCCUGGACUGAGGACCGCGCCUUUAGUGGCUAGGAUGCUGGCAUAAUGGUCGUGAGCGACCCGUCUUGAAACACGG